GGUGUGAACAUUCACAAUGAUGUUACAGGCAAAGUUGGAACUUACCUGAAGAUGAACAAUAGAUCUCUUUAUGAUGAAUUAAUUUCUAUGCAAAUUCUUGUCGCCGAAACUCUUUGAUCAUGCUGGAAUCAAAAAUUCUGACAUUGACAACCACCUGCUGAUGUACAACUCUUUAUACAUGGUGGUCAUCUUGUAGUGACUAAACUGUUUUUUGAGUGACUAAACUGUUCACAUAUUGUCGGGACCGGCUAAACGAAGAGUUAUGAAGUGGAGAGUUAUCUCGUAGAGUUAUGAUUUCGUAGAGUUAUGUUCGAACCACGCCCAAACCAUGCCCACUUUCCCAACGACCACACCCAAUUUCUUAACUCUCCCACGAUGUUUCCUUGAACUAACAUGAGAGAGUUAUGUUUGACGUAACUCUCUCUCGUUAACAUUAUGAAGAUGUUAGAGAGUUAUCCUUUUUUAUACAAACAUAACUCUCUCAUGUGAGUUCAAGGAAAUUGGGUGUGGUCAUUGGGGAAAGUGGGUGUGGUUUGAACAUAACUCUCCGAAAUCAUAACUCCCCCGUUGGUAACUCUCCCUUUAGUCAUAUACCUCAUAUUGUUGAUUAUUGACCUCCUGUUUCACAUCAAAUACAUGUAAUCACAUUUGGCAUAAUUUAUCAAAUUGACAUUUGAAAUUGA